UUCUUUCUUUCUUUCUUUCUUUUUUCUUUUUUACUGAUGCAGAGGGCUUUGCUCGCAAUGUUUCGAUGCUCUUCCGUCGAUGAUGAUAUGUGGGUUCAAGCGCCUGGUUGCGGUAAUCGGUUAUUUAGUGACUUUGGUCUGAAACCCUGCGGAACCAUGCAGAUGUGUAGACAGAUUUGAAAAUCGUAUUUUAUGUUCAUUCUAACGACUCAUUAAAAUUCGAAAAUCGUAUUUUAUGUUCAUUCUAACGACUCAUUAAAAUUCGAAAAUCGUAUUUUAUGUUCAUUCUAACGCGCAUUGACCAGGUUUAGCUUCUUUUCUGAAAGAACGGUUAUAUUCAACGAUUUUACUUAUCUAUUCCUGCUUCUUUGCUGUUCUUAUCUUCUUCCUCUACAAACUUAUGCUUGGCACUGGGCUGGACUAUAUCUUCAGUUCUUACAACGAGAAGAGUUGUAGUGACCAGAAUUUAGGCUUUUCAUAUCUACGACCAACAUAAUGCAUACCAUCCCAUUUGCACUGCCAUG
rnacentral:lncRNA from 1 species